GAUGAACGCUGGCGGCGUGCCUAAUACAUGCAAGUCGAGCGAACGGACGAGAAGCUUGCUUUUCUGAUGUUAGCGGCGGACGGGUGAGUAACACGUGGAUAACCUACCUAUAAGACUGGGAUAACUUCGGGAAACCGGAGCUAAUACCGGAUAAUAUUUUGAACCGCAUGGUUCAAAAGUGAAAGACGGUCUUGCUGUCACUUAUAGAUGGAUCCGCGCUGCAUUAGCUAGUUGGUAAGGUAACGGCUUACCAAGGCAACGAUGCAUAGCCGACCUGAGAGGGUGAGCGGCCACACUGGAACUGGGACACGGUCCCGACUCCUACGGGAGGCAGCAGUAGGGAAUCUUCCGCAAUGGGCGAAAGCCUGACGGAGCAACGCCGCGUGAGUGAUGAAGGUCUUCGGAUCGUAAAACUCUGUUAUUAGGGAAGAACAUAUGUGUAAGUAACUGUGCACAUCUUGACGGUACCUAAUCAGAAAGCCACGGCUAACUACGUG
rnacentral:rRNA from 1 species